GGAGGUGAUCAAAUGUAUGAUGUGCUGUUUCUCUUCUGCAUUUUUUCACAAUAUAAGAAGUUUCCAAAACAAUUUCCUCCUUUUUAGAUGCUAAGCUAAGAAUAGCAACUAGAGAAGGGAAAUUGUGUCUGGAGAGUGAUGUAUUUUAGAUCAAAAGGAACCAAGUGUUUUAUGUAUGUGUCUUUACCUGCUAUGCCUCAAACAAAUUGAUUCAAAAGAGUUGUCACAGAUAUACAUAAGUACGUCUAGUGAAAGUGUUAAGUCAAACCCCCAGAGUGCACGAUAUAAGUACUAGGGAAAUGUCCACUAAUAAAUAAAACAAAUGAACCAGAAGCUAAAUAUAGAAACUAGGAAGUCAAAUAGAAAUGUUUGCACACUAUGUGAAAUGGAGAAGUUGGUAUUAAUUUCCCAUGUACUACGAUUACCUCCGUGGGGGAGGAGUUGAGAGGAGAGAGUUGAAGGCAAGACAACAAGCACCUCUUCAGGAUCAUCGUCUGAUGUGGCCAUCUGAGCGAACACCAAAAUAACUAUAUGAAGGACUGAGAGGGAUUCAGAUGGGGAGAACAUCGGGCAACAGAAAGGAGCUGAAGGUGGUACAGAGGGAACUGAUGUGGCAGAUCAGAGAGGGGGAAAACAGCUACAGGAAGAGGAUGGAGGAACAGCUGCAGCAGAGGAACGUCAGCGGAGUCUGGAGAGGCCUAAAAACCAUCUCUGGCUACAAAGGGCCAGACUCCCAGGUCCGAGGGGACCAUCAGUGGGCCAACAACCUGAACAUUUUCUUCAAUAGAUUUGAUCAGUCAGGCGCCCCUACCCCGACCCAAUCCCCACUGCUGCAUCCCCCAUCGUCCCCACUGUGUGGAAAUAGCCCUGUCACCUCUGACACCUCCACCCAGCCCCCGACCAUCAGCCCAAAGACAUUUUUCACACCAGCCCCGGUAACUUCUCCCCCCACAACCCCCUCUGACGGCUUGUAGUUCAAAUUGCUGUUUCCACUUGUUGUCGUUAGCAUCACCAGUGUUGUUGCUAUGGUUACCUGCAGUUUGAUAAAUGCAAUUAGUUUGUAGAGAAUAAUAAAAGGCUUCAUAAGAUCCAUAACAAAGCAUGGUGAGUUUGUUUGUUUGAAUGGUAGUUAAUUAACUAUUUGAAAUGCUUUUACUAGAAUAUUUUAUGCUAAUCUAUAGUGUUCAAUUACACUUUUGGAGGCUAAUAUUAUACUUUUUACUUCAGUAGCUGCUAUAAAAACACAUGAUAUAUGACAUUAUGCAAGUUCAUUUGAAGUUAAAUGGAUCCAUGUUGUCAAAUAACAAGAUGAAAUUGCUCUUGCAUGUAUUUGUAUAUGUAUAAUAAUAUGAAAAUAGCUAUAAAUAGUUGAGUUGAGUAGCAUUUUCAGAUACAAGAACCUGCAUUUUCCAUUUUAUGUUACUUUAUACUUGUGUUGCACCACAUUUUAGAGGUAAAUAUCGUACUUUUGAUUAUAGUACAUUUAUUUAACACACAAAAAAAAACACUUACUGUAGGAUUAUGAAGUACUAAAUAAGUAAAAAUACUCUUCCAUGCAUGUGUUUACGGAAUAAUAAAAGAUCUAUCCUGCAUAUUUACAAAUGCAAUUCAAAUUAAAUAUGCAAAUUGACAAAAUAAUCCUUAAUUUAUUUUAUUUUGUAUUAUUGCAGAUUAAUACUAGGAAUUUACUGCAUUUUAUAAUGGGAUGUUUUUGUGAAGGAAUCAUAUGAAAUGUUAUUAACAUGUAAAAUAUUAUUUGUUAUCUGCACUUUUUUGUUUAUAAAGUCAAAUAAAAGCUUCAAUUUUUA